rnacentral:rRNA from 1 species
GACAGAGGGUGCAAACGUUGCUCGGAAUUACUGGGCGUAAAGCGCGUGUAGGCGGACCACCAAGUCGGACGUGAAAGCCCUGAGCUCAACUCAGGAACUGCAUCCGAAACUGGCGGUCUGGAGUAGUGGAGAGGAAAGCAGAAUUCCUGGUGUAGAGGUGAAAUUCGUAGAUAUCAGGAGGAACACCGGUGGCGAAGGCGGCUUUCUGGACACUUACUGACGCUGAGACGCGGAAAGCGUGGGGAGCAAACAGG